rnacentral:rRNA from 1 species
CCUACGGGAGGCAGCAGUGGGGAAUAUUGGACAAUGGGGGGAACCCUGAUCCAGCGACGCCGCGUGAGUGAAGAAGUAUUUCGGUAUGUAAAGCUCUAUCAGCAGGGAAGAAAAUGACGGUACCUGACCAAGAAGCCCCGGCUAACUACGUGCCAGCAGCCGCGGGAAUACGUAGGGGGCCAGCGUUAUCCGGAUUUACCGGGUGGAAAGGGAGCGUAGACGGGGCAGCAAGUCUGAUGUGAAAGGUCGGGGCCCAACCCCGGGACUGCAUUGGAAACUGUUGAACUGGAGUGCAGGAGAGGUAAGCGGAAUUCCUAGUGUAGCGGUGAAAUGCGUAGAUAUUAGGAGGAACACCAGUGGCGAAGGCGGCUUACUGGACUGUAACUGACGUUGAGGCUCGAAAGCGUGGGGAGCAAACAGGAUUAGAUACCCUUGUAGUC